rnacentral:rRNA from 1 species
UACGGAGGGGACUAGCGUUGCUCGGAAUCACUGGGCGUAAAGCGCACGUAGGCGGAUUGUUAAGUCAGGGGUGAAAUCCUGGAGCUCAACUCCAGAACUGCCUUUGAUACUGGCAACCUUGAGUCCGGGAGAGGUGAGUGGAACUGCGAGUGUAGAGGUGAAAUUCGUAGAUAUUCGCAAGAACACCAGUGGCGAAGGCGACUCACUGGCCCGAUACUGACGCUGAGGCGCGAAAGCGUGGGGAGCAAACAGG